rnacentral:rRNA from 1 species
UGGGGAAUUUUCCGCAAUGGGCGAAAGCCUGACGGAGCAAUACCGCGUGAGGGAAGACUGCCUAUGGGUUGUAAACCUCUUUUUUCAGGGAGGAAUCAUUGACAUGUACCUGAAGAAUAAGCAUCGGCUAACUCC